rnacentral:lncRNA from 10 species
GUUAGGAGCCUGAUGUUGACUCCUGUGUUCGUUUGCUCAGGCUGCCAACACCGACUGGGGGCUUCAAUAAUGGAAGCUUAUUUUCACACAGUUCUGGAGGCUGGAGUUCCAAGAUCAAGGUUUUGGCAGCAAACUCCAAUGUCAUCUCCUCCAUGAAGCCCUGGCUGCCACUCACAGAGAAGCAGGCUGAGUCCUGCACCAGGAUGCCUGGCUGAGGAGCAGAGUGGCAUAAAAGCAUUUGCUCUUUGUUUGCAGGCCGCUGGGCCCAGGAGGCUGGGUCUGUUCAGGUUCACAACUUCUCCAGCCCUCCACGAAGAAGCUGGAAGGAGCAGGGUGCACAGGCUCUUUGAAGAUGCUGAAAUCUCUGCCCGGCCAGGCAGCAGGCGCUGACUCUCGCACUGUCCGGUUCGAAGAGCUGUUUUCUGCAGGUACUUGCAGUAGCAGCUGGCCUGGGACCCACCCCCGGGCAAAGUCCGCUCCGGAGUCUGUCACUUCCCGGCGCGGGCCACCCAGCCCCUGGCGCCCUGGCGCUCAGCGCUCCGCGGGCGCGCCCUCUGGCGGCAAGAGCCCUGAACAUUUCGCAAGCGGCGAAGGCUGGCGCGUGUUAUCCUGGGCACCCACCGGACCGAAUCGCUGGGCAGGGCUGCAAGGUGACUUGCUAACGCAAUCAGACCAGAAAGGAGCGCGCGUCUAACUAAGCGGGGGAGGGGAGAAGCAUGUUCAUAUUUUGUAAAAUGCAAGUGGCACCUCUCCCCAUUUUCCUCAAAAUUUUAUUCUGAAAAACUUUAGUACUUAAAAGUUCAAAUGCUUUUACAGUGGACACACAUUUAUCUAUCAGCUAGAUUCUGUUAUUCACAUUUUACUCUAUUGGUUUCAUUGCAUAUCUGUCCAUCUAUUCAUCCCUCUUUCCAUCCUUCAAACUAUCUUAUUUUUUCUUUUUCUUGUUC